rnacentral:rRNA from 1 species
CUACGUGCCAGCAGCCGCGGUAAUACGUAGGGUGCGAGCGUUAAUCGGAAUUACUGGGCGUAAAGCGAGCGCAGACGGUUACUUAAGCAGGAUGUGAAAUCCCCGGGCUCAACCUGGGAACUGCGUUCUGAACUGGGUGACUAGAGUGUGUCAGAGGGAGGUAGAAUUCCACGUGUAGCAGUGAAAUGCGUAGAGAUGUGGAGGAAUACCGAUGGCGAAGGCAGCCUCCUGGGAUAACACUGACGUUCAUGCCCGAAAGCGUGGGUAGCAAACAGGAUUAGAUACCCUGGUAGUCCACGCCCUAAACGAUGUCGAUUAGCUGUUGGGCAGCAUGACUGCUUAGUAGCGAAGCUAACGCGUGAAAUCGACCGCCUGGGGAGUACGGUCGCAAGAUUAAAACUCAAAGGAAUUGACGGGGACCCGCACAAGCGGUGGAUGAUGUGGAUUAAUUCGAUGCAGCGCGAAGAACCUUACCUGGUCUUGACAU